rnacentral:rRNA from 1 species
GGGUUGUGAGGUUAAGCGACUAAGCGUACACGGUGGAUGCCCUGGCAGUCAGAGGCGAUGAAGGGCGUGCUAAUCUGCGAUAAGCGCCGGUAAGGUGAUAUGAACCGUUAUAACCGGCGAUACCCGAAUGGGGAAACCCAGUGUGAYUCGUCACACUAUCAUUAACUGAAUCCAUAGGUUAAUGAGGCGAACCGGGGGAACUGAAACAUCUAAGUACCCCGAGGAAAAGAAAUCAACCGAGAUUCCCCCAGUAGCGGCGAGCGAACGGGGAGGAGCCCAGAGCCUGAAUCAGCAUG